rnacentral:rRNA from 1 species
UACGGAGGGGGCGAGCGUUAUUCGGAAUUAUUGGGCGUAAAGGGCGCGUAGGCGGCGUGCUAAGUCGAACGUGAAAUCCCCGGGCUCAACCCGGGAACUGCGUCCGAGACUGGCAGGCUUGAAUCCGGGAGAGGGAUGUGGAAUUCCAGGUGUAGCGGUGAAAUGCGUAGAUAUCAGGAGGAACACCGGUGGCGAAGGCGGUUCUCUGGGCCUUACCUGACGCUGAGGAGCGAAAGCGUGGGGAGCGAACAGG